UACAGAGGUCCCAAGCGUUGUUCGGAUUCAUUGGGCGUAAAGGGUGCGUAGGCGGCGCGGUAAGUCGGGUGUGAAAUCUCGGGGCUUAACUCCGAAACUGCAUUCGAUACUGCCGUGCUUGAGGACUGGAGAGGAGACUGGAAUUUACGGUGUAGCGGUGAAAUGCGUAGAGAUGUGGAGGAACACCGAUGGCGAAGGCAGCCCCCUGGGCUGAGAUUGACGCUCAGGCACGAAAGCGUGGGGAGCAAACAGG
rnacentral:rRNA from 1 species